ACGCUAGCUACAGGCUUAACACAUGCAAGUCGAGGGGCAGCAGGAUCUAGCAAUAGAUUGCUGGCGACCGGCGCACGGGUGAGUAACACGUAUCCAACCUGCCGAUAACUCGGGGAUAGCCUUUCGAAAGAAAGAUUAAUACCCGAUGGUAUAAUCAGACCGCAUGGUUUGAUUAUUAAAGAAUUUCGGUUAUCGAUGGGGAUGCGUUCCAUUAGGCAGUUGGUGAGGUAACGGCUCACCAAACCUUCGAUGGAUAGGGGUUCUGAGAGGAAGGUCCCCCACAUUGGAACUGAGACACGGUCCAAACUCCUACGGGAGGCAGCAGUGAGGAAUAUUGGUCAAUGGACGCGAGUCUGAACCAGCCAAGUAGCGUGAAGGAUGACUGCCCUAUGGGUUGUAAACUUCUUUUAUAUGGGAAUAAAGUUUUCCACGUGUGGAAUUUUGUAUGUACCAUAUGAAUAAGGAUCGGCUAACUCCGUGCCAGCAGCCGCGGUAAUACGGAGGAUCCGAGCGUUAUCCGGAUUUAUUGGGUUUAAAGGGAGCGUAGGUGGACAGUUAAGUCAGUUGUGAAAGUUUGCGGCUCAACCGUAAAAUUGCAGUUGAUACUGGCUGUCUUGAGUACAGUAGAGGUGGGCGGAAUUCGUGGUGUAGCGGUGAAAUGCUUAGAUAUCACGAAGAACUCCGAUUGCGAAGGCAGCUCACUGGACUGCAACUGACACUGAUGCUCGAAAGUGUGGGUAUCAAACAGGAUUAGAUACCCUGGUAGUCCACACAGUAAACGAUGAAUACUCGCUGUUUGCGAUAUACAGUAAGCGGCCAAGCGAAAGCAUUAAGUAUUCCACCUGGGGAGUACGCCGGCAACGGUGAAACUCAAAGGAAUUGACGGGGGCCCGCACAAGCGGAGGAACAUGUGGUUUAAUUCGAUGAUACGCGAGGAACCUUACCCGGGCUUAAAUUGCAUUUGAAUAAUCUGGAAACAGGUUAGCCGCAAGGCAAAUGUGAAGGUGCUGCAUGGUUGUCGUCAGCUCGUGCCGUGAGGUGUCGGCUUAAGUGCCAUAACGAGCGCAACCCUUAUCUUUAGUUACUAACAGGUCAUGCUGAGGACUCUAGAGAGACUGCCGUCGUAAGAUGUGAGGAAGGUGGGGAUGACGUCAAAUCAGCACGGCCCUUACGUCCGGGGCUACACACGUGUUACAAUGGGGGGUACAGAAGGCAGCUACCUGGUGACAGGAUGCUAAUCCCAAAAGCCUCUCUCAGUUCGGAUCGAAGUCUGCAACCCGACUUCGUGAAGCUGGAUUCGCUAGUAAUCGCGCAUCAGCCAUGGCGCGGUGAAUACGUUCCCGGGCCU
rnacentral:rRNA from 1 species